CAUCUGCCUGCACAACCGAAGGCUGCAUUUUCAGGACCGCAUUUCUAGGACCCUACAUUUUAGUGACAACACCACCUACCGAAUUACAGGACCAGUGACCGCAUGCUUUUCGGAAGAGAUGGACGACAUUCAGAGUAAACACAUAACAAUCCAAGAAGGAAGAUCCUUUCGUGAACUUAAGAGAUGCACCACAUGCUGCAAGGAGCUCCUCUGCCCGUUCUGCAGCUCUGCUUUGUUUCACCCAACAAAGUGGAGCAAAGUGAAAUCCCAUUUGGAGAGCCAUUUCAAAUGCAGUUCUCUAUGAAGACCAUCAUAUAUGGCCUGGCUGGGCUGCAGAAUUUCUCUGCGGGAUGUUGAGAAGGCCGCCUUCUCUGGUCCGGAUUAUCAUCACAUUGGUUAUGUUCUCCAUUUACUAUUUUAGUAAAGUGGAAGAAAAGAGAAAAGAGGGGAGAGCAUCCAUU